AUAUGGUAGAUAUAAAAUUUAGUGGGUAGAUAAUAGGUUUUAAAAAUAAACUUGUUUAAAAUAAUUAUAUUUUUGUAAAAUACAAUUUUCAUCAAACUAUAUGUAACAACGUAAAUAAAAUAUAUAAACUUUAAACCAUGUGACUAACAUUAAAAAGUAAUAUAUAAUGCUGCAUAUAAUGAAGAAAAUCAUUUCAACAGAGAGAAUAUAAACAUGAUUCUAAAACUGUCACUAAACGAGUACUUAGGCAAAUAAUCUAAUCAUACCUUGGACGUUAUACAUGCGGUGCAGUGACAUACUGAAAGUAGUUUGUCAUCUUCGGAGCUAUAACAAGUAGACAAAUGACAUGCCAUUCAUAUUUCUCACUAUAUCUGAUCAUAUUGCAUGCAUAAAAUAGACCCUAAAGGACAAAAACAUCUAACCACACGAAACAAGGCCCUAUAUGUGCUUAGACAGGCCCUAAAGGAUCUCUAUCUCAAUUGUAUCUAUAUAUUGUGUCUAUAUAACUGAAUAUCUAUAAUUGCAUCACUAUACUCAUUUCUGUAUCCAGAAGGGAAGGACACUGUUGAAUGAUUUUGACAAUAAACUAUUAUACACAUUUGCAUAAGCAUUUUAUAAGAACUUCAAAUCUAAAUAUCAUUUCACUAAAAUACUCUCAUGAAUUUAUAAUAAAUAAAGAAAACCAUUUAUUAUAUCUUAAUACAUCAAUAUGCAAAUAAAAUUUAUUUGUAGAAAACUUAAAUCAAAGCAUCAAACAUUACUUUGUAAAUAGAUUCACUUUUUUAUAAUUAAAAUCAUAAGAAAAAUAUAAAAUAUAAGUUUAAUAUAUAUUUCACUCAUAAUGGCGACGCUCAGGCUCAGUUAUAGUCGACGUUUGCAAGUUGAGUCACAUUUAUAACUCCACUUAAACCAAUAAAAUUACAUAAUUACUUUACAAAUAUACGAAAAUACAACUAAUUUUAUGCGACAUAACUAUGCAAUAAAUGUUUACCAUGGAAAUUAUAACUUCUGGAUCCAUACUUGUAAGUCAAAAAUACUCUCAAAGCCAUAAAUUACACUUUAUGGACAAAACUCGGUACUCCAUCUCAAUAAUUUAAUUUACAUAUCUUAUAAUACUAAUUAAUCAUCCACAUUAGCAACAGCCUCUGCAUUUUUAACCAUAAACUAUCUAAACAUAAUACAUAAUAAUAGGCUAUUUACAUAUUGAAUUGGGAAAAUGAUGAGCGCUAAGCGUCUCCAGCUUUUCAAUGUCUUGUUGGUGCCCUUGUACUCCUAAAAUAAUUAAGCCAUUAAGAAAGUUAGCUUGAGAGCAUAUUUACUCAUUUGUUGGAGACCAUAAUUAUAAAUAAAAUAUGCUAAUCUUUGAAUUAACUUCAUUCUAUGAAACACUACUAGAAAAGUGAGAAAUGUUGAUACUAAACUUCUGAUAACUAGCACUAACCAUUGGCAAAAAAAUGUAAUUUUUAUUUUAAUUUAUUUUUUUAAUUUCCUAAAUCUAAACGAUGUUGUUUUAAACUUAAUUUAACUUUUUAAUCCCUUUUUCUUACAACGUAGCUUUAGUCUAAAAUCAGUUUAUAUAAAUUAAAUUGUUAUAAUAUUUGGUUCUGCAAUUUCCUUUCUCUUCACAAAUUUCAUAUGGUUAGCUAAAUCCUAUGUAAAUCAAACAAAAUCCAUCUAACAACAAAUUAAAUCACGAAGAAACUACCCCAAAUUUGCAGAAAAACAAAGAUUGAAAAACGAAGAUUCAAGUUUAAAAAGAAAAACCACAACCAAACAACCUAAUAUUUGUAAGAUGAGUAAAAGCUCGUCUAUUCCUUAUAUCUUGAGGUUGGUACAUGUUUAGUUCUUGUAUUUUUAAAAAUACCUUCAAACAAAUCUGUUAUUAAACUAAUGACACCUUUGUCGUUACUUUUUAUUCAUUUUGGCUUGUUUUUACAAGAUUAUCCUCUUACAAUAAUUUUUUUGGAUAUUAAUUAAAAAAUUAAUAAUUUAAACCUAACAAA
rnacentral:lncRNA from 1 species